rnacentral:misc_RNA from 1 species
GGUUGGAUUCGCGUGGGGCAUAAGGGCGGUAAGAUGCGAGAGAUUGACCUCGCUAAACCGGCACGGCAAGCCGUCUAUGAAUACUUGCAAUCGGG